AUAUUGACACAGUCCAAUGUUUGAACAAACUCCACAGAGAGAUACAACCAUCCCCACUGACUGGAACAUUUUCAACAGGGCAGACAAUUCAAUGGAGAAUUACGAGAAAUAUACCGAAAAUGGGUUUGACACAGAUGAAGCUCCCUUCUAUCAUAGCCAAGACCAGAAACCAGUAUCUACAUUCACAGUACGAGAUGGGCCCAGUUUUCCACAUUACCGAUUGGUUACAAUAUGUUUGGGGCCACUUAGUGCUCUUCUACUGGUUGUUGCCAUUGUUCUGGGAGUAUACUGUAAUAAAGUCAGUGAGAGUCAUCUUCCACUCUAUCAGAAUUUGACACAGAUCAGCAGUGAGCUGGAGCACUUCAGAGCCGUUCAGAACAAUGUGAUUCAUGAUAAAGAGGAGGCCCAGAGAAAGUUACACAGAGAGCUCACUAGCCUCCACCAACUAGAGAUAGCAUUACAGCAACAGACGACCAGCAACGAUAACUUUCAGGCGCAGAUUGAGAGCCUUCGCAAGGACAAGACGCAGCUGCAGUCCCAAAUAUCUUCGCUUGAGGUAAGCUGUGGCCUAUGUUUGCCAGGAUGGGAUCUGCUAAACUCAACAUGUUACUACUUUGCCAUUUCUGAUGCCAUUGAGUCUAGAAGCUGGGGAGAGGCCAGAAAAGACUGUUUAAGUUAUGGAGCUGACCUGGUUGUGGUAGAUAGCUGGGAGAAGCAGGACUUUAUGAGUAAGGCGAUACAAGCAUUAAGAUACAGUUCAAUAGUCAGGUACAACACAGGGUUCUGGAUUGGACUGAAGGAAGAAGAGGACACAGAGGGGAGCUGGACAUGGCUGGAUGGGACUGAACUGACUCAGGGGUACUGGGCAGAUGGGGAGCCGAAUGAUUAUAAGAAAGCCGAGGACUGUGCAGCCAUUUACUCCACAACCUAUCCCAGGAAGACUUGGAACGAUGCCCCAUGUACACAUGCACUGAAAUGGAUAUGUGAAAUGAAAGCAAAGGCAGCCCAGGAAUUAAAGUUGUAAUAAUUUGUCUCAUGAGUGUUGUCAUAUACAAAGACACUACAUGUUAAAUGAAAAUGUAUUUAACAAAAGUAAAUUAAAUUAAUAUUGGGCAAUUAUAAUACAUCUCUGAUUGUUUGAGGAUCCUUCUGUCACACACACAAACACAAACACACACACACGCAAACAAACACUCCUCCCUCCACUCAAACCACCAAUGGCUUCACAGUAUUCACAUGAAGCAUUGACAUAGGGCAAUGACUAAACAAAUCAUCCACAGGCAGAGAGAAUGAGUAGACAGUUGUUUUAGUUCAAUAUUGUCAGACAGACAGACAAGUCAAUGGAGAAUUCUGACAUAUCAGAAGAUCUGUUUAAGGGAUUCAAGGGAACAUAUAAUGAGCUGAUAUGUCAGGAUGAUUUCAGCACAGAUGGACAUCCUCUCCAUAACAGACAAGACCAACAACAAGUGUCCAUAUUCAUGGUGAGAGAUGGGCAGAGUUUUCAAUUCUAUCGAUUGGUUGCAGUGAGUCUGGGCAUGCUCAGUGCUCUUCUACUGGUCGUUGACAUUGGUCUGGGGGUACAAUACAGCAAAGUCAGUGAGAAGUACGGUCCACUAUAUCAGAACUUGACACAUAUCAGCAGUGAGCUGGAGCAACUCAGAGCCACCCACAGUAACAUGAUCCAUGCCAAAGAGGAGGCCUUGACAUUGUUGCAGAAAGAGCUCCAAAAGGUGUACAAAACCAGCGGGCAGCUAGGGAGUGCCAAACACACUGGCAUGGAGUUACAGAGGCAGGUUGAAAGCCUUCAGGGACAGAAGAUGGCGUUGCAGUCCAGCGUCACUGAAUUUGUGGAAAGCUGUGGCCGUUGUUUGCCAGGAUGGAAAUUGCUCAACUCGUUGUGUUACUACUUUCCCUUGUCGAACUCCAUUCCUCUGAAAACAUGGGACAGAAGCAGAGAAAGCUGCAUUCAAAAAGGAGCUGACCUGGCAAUAAUAAAUAGUGAAGAGAAGCAGGAGUUUAUCAAUAAGGCAAUACAAGCAUUACGAUACAGCUCAGGAUCCUGGCACCUAACAGGGUUCUGGAUUGGACUGAGGGAGAAAGAGGAUAAAGAGGGAACCUGGGCAUGGCUUGAUGGGACUAAACUGACUCAGGGAUACUGGGCAGAUGGGGAGCCUAAUGACGAUAUGAAUAACGAGGACUGUGCAGCCAUUUACUCCAAAAACCAUCCCAAGGCGAGUUGGGAUGCCAUGAAGACGUGGAACGAUGCCCCAUGUAGAUAUGCACUGAAAUGGAUAUGUCAAAUGAAAGCAAAGGCAGCCUAGGAAUUAAAGUUGUAAUAAUUUGUCUCAUGAGUGUUGUCAUAUGCAAAGACACUACAUGUUAAAUGAAAAUGUUUAUAACAAAAGUAAAUUAAAAUUGGCCAAUUAUAAUACA